UGCAUAUCAAUAAGCGGAGGAAAAGAAACCAACAGGGAUUGCCUUAGUAGCGGCGAGUGAAGCGGCAAAAGCUCAAAUUUGAAAUCUGGCACCUUCGGUGUCCGAGUUGUAAUUUGAAGAUUGUAACCUUGGGGUUGGCUCUUGUCUAUGUUUCUUGGAACAGGACGUCACAGAGGGUGAGAAUCCCGUGCGAUGAGAUGCCCAAUCCUAUGUAAGGUGCUUUCGAAGAGUCGAGUUGUUUGGGAAUGCAGCUCUAAGUGGGUGGUAAAUUCCAUCUAAAGCUAAAUAUUGGCGAGAGACCGAUAGCGAACAAGUACAGUGAUGGAAAGAUGAAAAGAACUUUGAAAAGAGAGUGAAAAAGUACGUGAAAUUGUUGAAAGGGAAGGGUUUGAGAUCAGACUCGAUAUUUUGUGAGCCUUGCCUUCGUGGCGGGGUGACCCGCAGCUUAUCGGGCCAGCAUCGGUUUGGGCGGUAGGAUAAUGGCGUAGGAAUGUGACUUUUCUUCGGUGAAGUGUUAUAGCCUGCGUUGAUGCUGCCUGCCUAGACCCGAGGACUGCGAUUUAUCCAGAUGCGCNUCUNNGGGUU
rnacentral:rRNA from 1 species